CUGAUGCAGCGACGCCGCGUGAGCGAUGAAGCCCUUCGGGGUGUAAAGCUCUUCGACGGGAACGAUAAUGACGGUACCGAAGAAGAAGCUGCGGCUAACUACGUGCCAGCAGCCGCGGUAAUACGUAGGCAGCAAGCGUUGUUCGGAAUUACUGGGCGUAAAGAGUGUGUAGGCGGUGUUCUAAGUCUGUUGUGAAAUCUCCCGGCUUAACUGGGAGGGUGCGGCGGAAACUGGAAUGCUAGAGGAUGGGAGAGGUAAGCGGAAUUCCUGGUGUAGCGGUGAAAUGCGUAGAUAUCAGGAGGAACACCUGUGGUGUAGACAGCUUACUGGACCAUUUCUGACGCUGAGACACGAAAGCGUGGGUAGCAAACAGGAUUAGAUACCCUGGUAGUCCACACCCUAAACGAUGCAUACUUGGUGUGAGCGAUUCAUUUCGUUCGUGCCGGAGCUAACGCGUUAAGUAUGCCGCCUGGGGAGUACGGUCGCAAGGCUG
rnacentral:rRNA from 1 species